UACGGAGGAUGCAAGCGUUAUCCGGAUUUAUUAGGUUUAAAGGGUGCGUAGGCGGAACGGUAAGUCAGUGGUGAAAUCCUCCCGCUCAACGGGAGAACUGCCAUUGAUACUGUCGUUCUUGAGUGCAGCCGAGGUAGGCGGAAUGUGUAAUGUAGCGGUGAAAUGCUUAGAUAUUACACAGAACACCUAUUGCGUAGGCAGCUUACCAGACUGUAACUGACGCUGAGGCACGAAAGCGUGGGGAGCGAACAGGAUUAGAUACCCCCGUA
rnacentral:rRNA from 1 species